GGCUGGAUCACCUCCUAACAGGGAGACAAACUGAUAGUGAUGUCUGAGUAAUUUUAUUCUCAGGCCGCUAUCCUGUCAUCUUUAGGUCGAUCGGUACCUCAGGGGGCUUUGCAUCAAGGAAGUGGCAACAUUUCCAAGGAUGAUAAAGCUUUUUCAGUUCCUAAACUUUGUCUAGGUCACCCCACCGCGGGUAAAUUCCUGGGCCAUUAGCUCAGGUGGUUAGAGCGCACCCCUGAUAAGGGUGAGGUCCCUGGUUCAAGUCCAGGAUGGCCCAUUCGUGUUUGGGGGUUUAGCUCAGUUGGUAGAGCGCCUGCUUUGCAAGCAGGAUGUCAGCGGUUCGAGUCCGCUAACCUCCAUCCAACAACGUGCUUAGCCUUUAAGCCAGACAUGCCGGUGGCAUGCAAGCCUAGGAGUUAGGCUGUGUUGGUGAUCUUGACGUUUGUUCGCUGAGGAUUUUAACUUCUUUUCAUGGGCAUUCAUGAGUAUUCAUGAGCAUGCAUGAAAAGACGCUGAAUUCAAAGACUGCCUCCCGCAAGGAGGCAGUUUGUAUUUCAGCAGAACCUUGACAACUGUAUAGGUAAGUCUGGAAAAUAAGCAUCUCAUGGAUGCUUGAUCCAGGGUUCAAGAUAGCUCCAGCGAUGGGGUUGUUUUGGGCACUGAAUCAAGAAAAUUCUAUUGAGUUUUUAGAGCCGAGAGCUUUCAGUUUUCUUGUCUAUCCGCCGAGGGUAGAUGAGUUUGAUCCUGGCAUUCAAACCCCAGCAGUGGCCAUGAGCAAUUAUGGCUGCAGCUGGA
rnacentral:tRNA from 1 species